GGUAGCAUGGCACAGUGGUUUGAGUGUUGGAUUGUGACUCUAAAGACCAGGGUUCAAUUCCCCACUUGGCCA